rnacentral:rRNA from 1 species
AUUGAACGCUGGCGGCAGGCCUAGCACAUGCAAGUCGAGCGGAUGAGAGGAGCUUGCUCCUCGAUUCAGCGGCGGACGGGUGAGUAAUGCCUAGGAAUCUGCCUAGUAGUGGGGGACAACGUUUCGAAAGGAACGCUAAUACCGCAUACGUCCUACGGGAGAAAGUGGGGGAUCUUCGGACCUCACGCUAUUAGAUGAGCCUAGGUCGGAUUAGCUAGUUGGUAGGGUAACGGCCUACCAAGGCGACGAUCCGUAACUGGUCUGAGAGGAUGAUCAGUCACACUGGAACUGAGACACGGUCCAGACUCCUACGGGAGGCAGCAGUGGGGAAUAUUGGACAAUGGGCGAAAGCCUGAUCCAGCCAUGCCGCGUGUGUGAAGAAGGCCCUCGGGUCGUAAAGCACUUUAAGUUGGGAGGAAGGGCUUACAGCGAAUACCUGUGAGUUUUGACGUUACCGACAGAAUAAGCACCGGCUAACUUCGUGCCAGCAGCCGCGGUAAAAC